GAAGGAUUGGAGCCAACUGUAUCUGUGCUAAGCGAGCCAAUUCUCUUGCUGUUGGUGUGUAAUAUUGCUGGAGCACUCACCAAUAAUUUAUCAUUCAUUAUACAGAACAUGACAGCAAUUCAGAUAUUGCAUUGAAAGCAACUUACUGGAAUGAAGAUAACAAAUACAGCCCAUGCUCCAUGCGACAUCACUGCAAUGGUCCCUAGUAACUGUAUUAUCGAGAUAUCACACCAACUUAGUCUUCUUGCGAUUUCCAGGUCCAGCACACUUUGAUCUGUAGAUGACUGUUCAUAUGAUUGCAUUAGUGUGUUGGUCUGAAGGUCACCAUGGGAAAAUAACUCAAAAUCCUUUGUCAAAGUGCAUGCUUCAACUGUUCUGUCAUAUUUGGCACUGUCAUAUGGAUUCCCAAAUAAAAUAUUAUUCCUGAUGUUUCCUGUCAGAAUCCAUGGUGACUGA